rnacentral:sRNA from 1 species
UCAAGAGCUCUCAAUCUCAUAGAAGAGAUAAGAGGUGAACAUAAACAUUAUCCCAAUGUUCUAUAGUAGUUGAGAGAAGAAAGUGACCUUCCUGGUGGGUGGGGUGGACCAGAGAAGAAUUCAUGGAAGAGGUGGCAUUUGAUUAGGGUUACUUGGAUAAUUAUCCCAUACUGCUCAUUGUCCUCUCUUCUGACCCCCUUAACCACCUGAAACUGGUGCUGGUGCAUCCUUGACCCAAUUCUGAUAUUCUUGCUUGAUGUUGCCUGCUUGGUGUUGGUUGUCCAUAUGCCUGGCAGGGCGUGCUGAUGCCCAGCUGUGUCCAUGCCAGGAUUCCAGAGGAGAACCAGCCACCCAGCAAGCAGGUGAAGCCACUCUUCCGCCACUUCCGCCGGAUAGACUCCUGUCUGCAGACCCGGGUGGCCUUCCGGGGCUCUGAUGAGAUCUUCUGCCGUGUAUACAUGCCUGACCACUCUUAUGUGACCAUACGCAGCCGCCUUUCAGCAUCUGUGCAGGACAUUCUGGGCUCUGUGACGGAGAAACUUCAAUAUUCAGAGGAGCCCACGGGGCGUGAGGAUUCCCUCAUCCUGGUAGCUGUAUCCUCCUCCGGAGAGAAGGUCCUUCUCCAGCCCACUGAGGACUGUGUUUUCACCGCACUGGGCAUCAACAGCCACCUGUUUGCCUGUACUCGGGACAGCUAUGAGGCUCUGGUGCCCCUCCCCGAGGAGAUCCAGGUCUCCCCUGGAGACACAGAGAUCCACCGAGUGGAGCCUGAGGACGUUGCCAACCACCUAACUGCCUUCCACUGGGAGCUGUUCCGAUGUGUGCACGAGCUGGAGUUCGUGGACUACGUGUUCCACGGGGAGCGCGGCCGCCGGGAGACGGCCAACUUGGAGCUGCUGCUGCAGCGCUGCAGCGAGGUCACGCACUGGGUGGCCACCGAAGUGCUGCUCUGCGAGGCCCCGGGCAAGCGCGCGCAGCUGCUCAAGAAGUUCAUCAAGAUCGCGGCCCUCUGCAAGCAGAACCAGGACCUGCUGUCUUUCUACGCCGUGGUCAUGGGGCUGGAUAACGCCGCUGUCAGCCGCCUUCGACUCACCUGGGAGAAGCUGCCAGGGAAAUUCAAGAACUUGUUUCGCAAAUUUGAGAACCUGACGGACCCCUGCAGGAACCACAAAAGCUACCGAGAAGUGAUCUCCAAAAUGAAGCCCCCUGUGAUUCCCUUCGUGCCUCUGAUCCUCAAAGACCUGACUUUCCUGCACGAAGGGAGUAAGACCCUUGUAGAUGGUUUGGUGAACAUCGAGAAGCUGCAUUCAGUGGCCGAAAAAGUGAGGACAAUCCGCAAAUACCGGAGCCGGCCCCUUUGCCUGGACAUGGAGGCAUCCCCCCAUCACCUGCAGACCAAGGCCUAUGUGCGCCAGUUUCAGGUCAUCGACAACCAGAACCUCCUCUUCGAGCUCUCCUACAAGCUGGAGGCAAACAGUCAGUGAGAGUGGAGGCUCCAGUCAGACCCGCCAGAUCCUUGGGCACCUG